CCUACGGGUGGCAGCAGUGGGGAAUAUUGGACAAUGGGGGGAACCCUGAUCCAGCGAUGCCGCGUGCGUGAAGACGUAUUUCGGUAUGUAAAGCUGUAUCAGCAGGGAGGUAAGAACUGACGGUACCUGACUAAGAAGCGUCUGCUAACUACGUGCCAGCGGCCGCGCUAAAACGUAGGCGGCAAGCGUUAUCCGGAUUUACUGGGUGUAAAGGGAGCGUAGACGGGGAUGCAAGUCUGAAGUGAAAGGUGGGGGCCCAACCCCCGGACGGCUUUGGACACUGUAUGGCUGGAGUGCAGGUGAGGUAAGUGGAAUGUCUGGUGUAGCGGUGAAAUGCGUAGAUAUUA
rnacentral:rRNA from 1 species